CACUGGCGAGCAAGGCGAAGUGGCUAGCUUGGGUGCCUUGCUUGCCGAUGAUGGGUUGUGAUGCUCUUCACGAGGAGGCUGGAGAACUCCUGCAAGAGCUGCUGCGUCGGGAGGAGGGACCUUGAGCCGCGGAGAUGCCACGCGCCCUGCUGCAGCUGCCACGUCGACGCCGCGCCCGCCGGUGGCGACGGCUGGUGGUGGAGGUGGUGGUGGUUGUGCUGCUGCUACUGCUGCAUCAGCAGCGACGUCGCCGCCUCCGGCCUGUGGAGCGAGAGGGACAGCCGCCGUCGCCGAGCGCGCCCACACCCUUACUCUGCUCGUGCGCGUUCUCCGCCGUCGUCGGCAUGAGCCCCCUACCAUCUUUGGCCGCCGCGGAGCUCCGCCGUGCUUCUCAAAGGAGCGUGUCGCUCCGCCAUCUUGGCAGCUUCCUCUUCCUCACCAUGGCAGCAGCAACUGCUACUGCCGCUUCGACGUCACUGCCGCCACCUCCGGUUGCUCGGAUGACGACGACAACGGCGAGGAAUAAAUAGCAGGACAGGGUCUUGGAUUAUGGAGAAAUUUUCGGUUUUUUUCCACCCACACCACAAGCACUGCCACAAAGGUCCAAGAGCCCAAAUUCGACUUCCUGCUAUUUGGUCCCUGAUCCUGUUCUUGCGUGGGGAACCCUGCAGACCGAUGACACCCUGUACCCACUGAGCUCGGGGUCUCGCGUCUCAUGUCAAGAAGAAUAAUGGAGGUAAGAUUUCGCACGCCGCCUCUCCAUAACAUCUUCUUGUCUUCGAUCUGUCCAGGUGGAUCGUGUCUAAAGAAAACAAUUUUGUUUGACCUUCGUCCAUCGACAUAUUGGAGGAACUGCUCAUCUUCACGCGCGCCCGCCGACGGCCACCCCUGGGUCUGUCUCGUCACCGACGUUGCCCUCCGGGCCUGCGCUGCUGCUGGAAAGCCCGCCGAAGUGGACCGUCGGCAGCAACACGUCUCCAUCAUCGACGCCGCCGCCGCCACGCCCACACCCUUACUCCCCUCGUGCGCGUGCGCCGCCGUCGCUGGCAUGAGCCCCCCUCACCCAUCUUUGGCUGCCGCAGAGCUCCGCCGUGCUUCCCCACUGCGGCCGCCGUCGCGGCGUCGCCCUUCUCUCCCGCCUCGCCCAGGCGGGCUCCUCCCUAGCCACCGGCUGAGAGAAGAGAAGAGUGAGAGAGAGGAGGAAGGGAGAGAGAUGACGUGGCAUCCUGACAUGUGGGGCUCACGUGGGUCUCACGCUGACUCGGCCACCGCGUAGGAUAAAACUGGGGUCAAAACCACCAAAGGAUCAUUGCGAUCGGUUUUGAUUAAUUAAGAGACACUAGAUAUCUGGUUUUAUAGUUGGGGGACGACGUUGUUACUCGAUGACAAGUUGAGGGACCUUGCGUGCACUUUUUCCCCACUGAAGGUACCGGAGAAAAUUCUUGUAUUCCAAGGCCUAAACCGUGUUAGAAUCACAGGCCUUUUAACAACCGGAGGAUAGCCCAUUCCGCUGUUUUGGUCACCUCCCGCACAGAUCAUGGUGGAUUCAACUUUCACUUCUUCACUAAGUAGCCGGCUACGCUACUGUGGCAUUGCUCGCAGGCUGUGUAGGGUUGUUCAGUUUGGUACCACUUUCCACCUUAGCAGUUUUUCGUAUUACGAAAACAUUGUAAGCUAACAAACUAAAUAUUUUAUUGCCAUUGAUACCUUACCAAAAUUUGGUAUUUCUAGAAA